GAGGAGUCUUUUGAUGGUACAGCAAGUCUGGAGAUCCUCUGGAGUCGAAAUGGUUGAGUUAGAAGAAAAAGAUUGUGUUUUCAAGACGCGAUUACAGCAAGAAGAGUCAAGUUCCUCUGAGUCCAGUAGGUAUGAUAAUCUGAUACGCGAAGGAAUAGACUCAACAGAAGAAGAAUCGAGGAGUCAUGACUUGUUGGAAUCCAAGCGAAAGAAAUCUCAAAAAUCAAAGAUGAAGAGAUUUAUCGCAAAGAAGUUCAAAAGGAAGAUAAGUAAUCAGGUGAUCCCAGUAAGGGAAAAUGAUGAUGAAACUCAACUUGAUGCUCGAAAGAGCGCUGAAGAAGUGCUUGAUGCAACCACUGUUAAGGUGUCUAGUAUAACCAGAAAAGAGCAGAGUUCAGCUAGUAUUGAUCUACUUUUGGUUGUUCUUGUUGGCCUUACCGGAGGCCGGAUUUUCGCGCUUGUGUUUACAGUAACAUGGUGCAUGAUGUCAAAACAAGUUUUGCUCAAAACUUUAGUUAGAAUUUUUCAAUUUAUUUGUGGAAAGCUGUGAAUUGCAGACCAUUUAGAUAGUUUAGUUUGCUUUAGCUGGAGAUUUUUGUAUUUUGUCUUGU
rnacentral:misc_RNA from 1 species